AACGAACGCUGGCGGCAGGCCUAACACAUGCAAGUCGAACGCUCGUAGCAAUACGGGAGUGGCAGACGGGUGCGUAACGCGUGGGAACAUACCCUUUGGUUCGGAAUAACUCAGGGAAACUUGAGCUAAUACCGGAUACGCCCGAGAGGGGAAAGAUUUAUUGCCGAAGGAUUGGCCCGCGUCUGAUUAGCUAGUUGAUAGGGGUAAACGGCCUACCAAGGCGACGAUCAGUAGCUGGUCUGAGAGGAUGAUCAGCCACACUGGGACUGAGACACGGCCCAGACUCCUACGGGAGGCAGCAGUGGGGAAUAUUGGACAAUGGGCGCAAGCCUGACCAGCCAUGCCGCGUGAGUGAUGACGGCCUUAGGGUUGUAAAGCUCUUUUACC
rnacentral:rRNA from 1 species